rnacentral:rRNA from 1 species
AUUGAACGCUGGCGGCAGGCCUAACACAUGCAAGUCGAGCGGCGCGGCGGCCGGGUGAGUAAUGCCUAUGAAUCUGCCUGGUAGUGGGGGAUAACGUCCGGAAACGGGCGCUAAUACCGCAUACUAUCAGAUUCGCCUAGGUCGGAUUAGCUAGUUGGUGGGGUAAAGGCCUACCAAGGCGACGAUCCGUAACUGGUCUAAGAGGCUGAUCAGUCACACGGGAAGUGAGACCCGGUCCAGAGUCCUACGGGAGGCAGCAGUGGGGAAUAUGGGACAAUGGGCGAAAGCCUGAUCCAGCCAGGACGCGUGUGUGAAGAAGGUCUUCGGUUUGUAAAGCACUUUAAGUUGGGAGGCGUUACCAACAGAAUAAGCACCGGCUAACUUCGUGACAGCAGCCGCGGUAAUAC